rnacentral:rRNA from 1 species
AGGAUUAACGCUGGCGGCGUGCCUAACACAUGCAAGUCGAACGAGGUAGCAAUACCUAGUGGCAGACGGGUGAGUAACGCGUGGUCAACCUACCGUUGAGUGGGGGAUAACUAGCCGAAAGGUUAGCUAAUACCGCAUACGAGUCUCGGGGGCAUCCCUGGGCCUUAAAAGGAGCAAUCCGCUCGAUGACGGGACCGCGUCCCAUUAGCUAGAUGGUGGGGUAAUGGCCUACCAUGGCUCCGAUGGGUAGCUGGUUUGAGAGAGCGACCAACCACACUGGGACUGAGAAACGGCCCAGACUCCUACGGGAGGCAGCAGUGAGGAAUUUUCCGCAAUGGGCGAAAGCCUGACGGAGCGACGCCGCGUGUGGGAAGAAGGCCUUCGGGUCGUAAACCACUGUCGAAGGGGACGAUAAUGACGGUACCCUUGGAGGAAGCCCCGGCUAACUACGUACCAGCAGCCGC